GGAAGUAUCCUGGGAUGUGCAGUAUUGGGUGCAGCAGGAUUCUUCCUCUGGAAAAAAAGACGCAAUUCAGACAGCACGUCUAAAUCAUCAAAAA